rnacentral:rRNA from 1 species
GUAGGUGGCAAGCGUUGUCCGGAAUUAUUGAGCGUAAAGCGCGCGCAGGCGGUUCUUUAAGUCUGAUGUGAAAGCCCACGGCUCAACCGUGGAGGGUCAUUGGAAACUGGAGGACUUGAGUACAGAAGAGGAAAGCGGAAUUCCACGUGUAGCGGUGAAAUGCGUAGAGAUGUGGAGGAACACCAGUGGCGAAGGCGGCUUUCUGGUCUGUAACUGACGCUGAGGCGCGAAAGCGUGGGGAGCAAACAGGAUUAGAUACCCUGGUAGUCCACGCCGUAAACGAUGAGUGCUAAGUGUUAGGGGGUUUCCGCCCCCCUUAGUGCUGCAGCUAACGCAUUAAGCACUCCGCCUGGGAGUACGGCCGCAAGGCCG